rnacentral:rRNA from 1 species
GAUGAACGCUGGCGGCGUGCCUAAUACAUGCAAGUCGAGCGAACAGACGAGGAGCUUGCUCCUCUGACGUUAGCGGCGGACGGGUGAGUAACACGUGGAUAACCUACCUAUAAGACUGGGAUAACUUCGGGAAACCGGAGCUAAUACCGGAUAACAUGUUGAACCGCAUGGUUCAACAGUGAAAGACGGUUUUGCUGUCACUUAUAGAUGGAUCCGCGUCGCAUUAGCUAGUUGGUAAGGUAACGGCUUACCAAGGCAACGAUGCGUAGCCGACCUGAGAGGGUGAUCGGCCACACUGGAACUGAGACACGGUCCAGACUCCUACGGGAGGCAGCAGUAGGGAAUCUUCCGCAAUGGGCGAAAGCCUGACGGAGCAACGCCGCGUGAGUGAAGAAGGUCUUCGGAUCGUAAAACUCUGUUAUUAGGGAAGAACAAAUGUGUAAGUAACUAUGCACGUCUUGACGGUACCAAAUCAGAAAGCCACGGCUAACUACGUG